AUGCGGCAGCCCUCAUUGCUCCUUUGCACUAUUGCUUUCUCCACAGGGGUGAAGAGGAGUCGCAGGGAAGGCUUUCCCACUUCCAUGGAUUCGCAGAAGACCGCCGGACAGAGUGGCAUUUCUGAGUGCCAGCGCUAUGCUCUCAGCUCUGCUGGGAGGAUGGAGCAGAGACUCCCAAGCCAACCCCAAGAAGCCUGGUUGAAGAGGCCUAGGGCACUCCACACCCCCAGGGCACCACAGGGGCUCUCAGGCUCAGCUGAGGGUCCUUCUGUCUCCGUCGUGUCACUGCAGGAGGAGGAUCCCCUGAGCUGUAUCCGCGCCUGCUGCACGCGCAGACCCCAGGCAGAGGCACAGAAGCUGAGCUUUCUGGCCUCCAUCUGCACCAUCUGCAAAGCUGCCCUUGAGGACUGUGGUGCACAUUACCGGCUGUGUGUCUGCCCGCUGGAGGUGGCGCAGUGCAUUGAGGUAAGGGCAGCACUGCAGGGCUGGGCGGUGGGCGCAGCCCUUCCCAUCGCAGGGUCGCAGGGGAGCCCCGGGAGCUGGGAUGGGGUGCCGGGAUGGGGUGCCCUGCGGGUCAUUUGCUGUGCAGGGGGCCCCAUCCCAUCCCUUCCCAUCCCACCGUGCCCUCAGGCGCUGCUGCAGGAGGAGCCCGCUGAGCGCCUGGACACGG
rnacentral:lncRNA from 1 species